CUGCGCGCCUCAUGCAAGUCGAGCGGGAAGGGAGCUUGCUCCUGGAUUMGCGGCGGACGGGUGAGUAAUGCCUAGGAAUCUGCCUGGUAGUGGGGGAUAACGUCCGGAAACGGGCGCUAAUACCGCAUACGUCCUGAGGGAGAAAGUGGGGGAUCUUCGGACCUCACGCUAUCAGAUGAGCCUAGGUCGGAUUAGCUAGUUGGUGGGGUAAAGGCCUACCAAGGCGACGAUCCGUAACUGGUCUGAGAGGAUGAUCAGUCACACUGGAACUGAGACACGGUCCAGACUCCUACGGGAGGCAGCAGUGGGGAAUAUUGGACAAUGGGCGAAAGCCUGAUCCAGCCAUGCCGCGUGUGUGAAGAAGGUCUUCGGAUUGUAAAGCACUUUAAGUUGGGAGGAAGGGCAGUAAGUUAAUACCUUGCUGUUUUGACGUUACCAACAGAAUAAGCACCGGCUAACUUCGUGCCAGCAGCCGCGGUAAUACGAAGGGUGCAAGCGUUAAUCGGAAUUACUGGGCGUAAAGCGCGCGUAGGUGGUUCAGCAAGUUGGAUGUGAAAUCCCCGGGCUCAACCUGGGAACUGCAUCCAAAACUACUGAGCUAGAGUACGGUAGAGGGUGGUGGAAUUUCCUGUGUAGCGGUGAAAUGCGUAGAUAUAGGAAGGAACACCAGUGGCGAAGGCGACCACCUGGACUGAUACUGACACUGAGGUGCGAAAGCGUGGGGAGCAAACAGGAUUAGAUACCCUGGUAGUCCACGCCGUAAACGAUGUCGACUAGCCGUUGGGAUCCUUGAGAUCUUAGUGGCGCAGCUAACGCGAUAAGUCGACCGCCUGGGGAGUACGGCCGCAGGUUAAAACUCAAAUGAAUUGACGGGGGCCCGCACAAGCGGUGGACAUGUGGGUUUAAUUCGAAGCAACGCGAAAACCUUACCUGGCCUUGACAUGCUGAGAACUUUCCAGAGAGGAUUGGUGCCUUCGAACUCACCAGGUGCUGCAUGGCUGUCGUCAGCUUGUGUCGUGAGAUGUGGGUUAUCCACAGCCAACCCUUGUCUUAUACCACUCGGGGGCUUAAGGAACUGCCGGGAACGAGAAGGGGGGAUAUGGCCUCGGCGGGCAUCGUCG
rnacentral:rRNA from 1 species